rnacentral:rRNA from 1 species
UAGGGAAUCUUCGGCAAUGGACGAAAGUCUGACCGAGCAACGCCGCGUGAGUGAAGAAGGUUUUCGGAUCGUAAAACUCUGUUGUUAGAGAAGAACAAGGGUGAGAGUAACUGUUCACCCCUUGACGGUAUCUAACCAGAAAGCCACGGCUAACUACGUUCCAG